rnacentral:rRNA from 1 species
GAUGAACGCUGGCGGCGUGCCUAAUACAUGCAAGUCGAGCGAACGGACGAGAAGCUUGCUUUUCUGAUGUUAGCGGCGGACGGGUGAGUAACACGUGGAUAACCUACCUAUAAGACUGGGAUAACUUCGGGAAACCGGAGCUAAUACCGGAUAAUAUUUUGAACCGCAUGGUUCAUAAGUGAAAGACGGUCUUGCUGUCACUUAUAGAUGGAUACGCGCUGCAUUAGCUAGUUGGUAAGGUAACGGCUUACCAAGGCAACGAUGCAUAGCCGACCUGAGAGAGUGAUCGGCCACACUGGAACUGAGACACGGUCCAGACUCCUACGGGAGGCAGCAGUAGGGAAUCUUCCGCAAUGGGCGAAAGCCUGACGGAGCAACGCCGCGUGAGUGAUGAAGGUCUUCGGAUCGUAAAACUCUGUUAUUAGGGAAGAACAUAUGUGUAAGUAACUGUGCACAUCUUGACGGUACCUAAUCAGAAAGCCACGGCUAACUACGUG